UACGUAGGUGGCAAGCGUUAUCCGGAUUUACUGGGUGUAAAGGGAGCGCAGGCGGUCUGGCAAGUCUGAUGUGAAAGGCCGGGGCCCAACUCCGGGACUGCAUUGGAAACUGUCAGACUGGAGUGUCGGAGAGGUAAGCGGAAUUCCUAGUGUAGCGGUGAAAUGCGUAGAUAUUAGGAGGAACACCAGUGGCGAAGGCGGCUUACUGGACGAUGACUGACGCUGAGGCUCGAAAGCGUGGGGAGCAAACAGG
rnacentral:rRNA from 1 species